CACUGCACCUUUUUGUUGCUGCAUUAUUGAGUCACUCGUGGAAUUCCGUCCUUCAUUAGAAUGUUCUUUAUGCCAAUGACAGAGAAUGUCUCAAAAUGCACAAGCAGUCCCAAGCACUCAGGAAUCAAGGAGAAGCCACUGCCUGAGCAUUCUCACAUAAAUCAAGGAUUCACCAUCCCUGGAAGUGCUCAAAACACCUCUGGAUGUGGCCCUCAAGGACAUAUGAGCACCUGAAACUCUGCAAAGGGGACACCAGGAGAUCACAGGAGGGACUCAAGUCUCUGCCACCAAAUGAACAUCCUGUGGCAGUGCCAGGGACUGAAACAACCUCUGCAAAGCUGCCAGUAGUGAUUUCAUGAUUAUCAUGAAUUUUGAGCUCUCUUUAAACCAAAGUCCAGCUGAUGCUCCUCAAGACCUGGCAGACAGCAGUGGAUGCUUUCUUCCAGACAAUGCCUUCCUUCUUUCCAGGACUUGAAUUAAAAAGAAAGGUGUGGAAACCAGCACCUUGUACAGAUAAAAAGAGAUGCUCUCUUAUUUCCUGACAGAGUGGAGAGGCCUUGGAGAUCCUGAAAGCCUCUCCAGCCAGAAGGGAUGUGAGAGGGCAGCAGGAGCCCCUCCACAGACACAGCC